UAAGGAGCGCCAUCCGUCGAAGGGCGGUAUGGAGCCUCGUGUCACCUGUGUUGGGUGGUGGGGUGCUCAUUGGUCGGAGACACUGGCUAGUUGGCGUCGGCAGCGGUCGGAUGCUCUUGUACACGCUUCUCAUCGUGUGGUGGGGGGUGGGGGAAGGGGUUGAUGAUGCGGCUGGUGCUGGUGGUGGACACCCUGUUGGGUCCUGAAGGAAUGACCGUUGGUUGUUUCUCGGGCCGUGUGCUCUGCGGUGCCGUGUGGUGCGGUGGGGUGGCGGUUGCCUGGCGUGGCUGGCUUCGUAUACCGGAUGCUGCUGUUGUGCCCUCGUGGUGGGGGUGGGGUGGUGUUGCUGGUGCGGGGUGGUGGUUGCGGGUGGGUUGUUUGUUGAGAAUUACACAGUGGACGCGAGCAUCUUUGUGGUCAA
rnacentral:misc_RNA from 1 species